rnacentral:rRNA from 1 species
UACGUAGGGUGCAAGCGUUAAUCGGAAUUACUGGGCGUAAAGCGUGCGCAGGCGGUUUUGUAAGUCUGACGUGAAAUCCCCGGGCUCAACCUGGGAAUUGCGUUGGAGACUGCAAGGCUGGAGUCUGGCAGAGGGGGGUAGAAUUCCGCGUGUAGCAGUGAAAUGCGUAGAGAUGUGGAGGAACACCGAUGGCGAAGGCAGCCCCCUGGGUCAAGACUGACGCUCAUGCACGAAAGCGUGGGGAGCAAACAGG